UUUGUAUUAAGUAUUAUAUAUUAUUAUUAUUAUUGUAUAUGGUGAUGCACACUUUGUUAGACAUCAUAUUAUUCAGUCUUAGAAUGACAUUGAAUGCAGAUCCCAAGAUACACUGGAGUCAUGUCACCUUUGACAGAGUAACCCAAAAAGCUCUCCUGCAUGUCAACAUCGAGUGCUAUUGAGUAAACACGGCAUUACUGGUAAGUGCAGAUCAAAUGUAUCCGCCCAGCAACCACAGGAGUCCUUUUGCUGCUGCUGCUGCUGCUGGCAACCACAGGAAGCCUUUUGUCUGCUGCUGCUGCUGCUGCUUACAGAGCAUCAGCCCUCGUGCAGCGGAAGUGUACACUUCUGUCAACACACACACACACACACACACACAUACAAACAAACCCUACAAGAGCCAGAAGAGAGGACUUGUGGCUCCCCGUCCCGGAAAAGACACAAGAGGACACAGAAGUCAGAGACCAUGAUCAAACGCAAACUGAGCUUCAAGUGGUUUGGUAGUCUCACCAGCCUCCGGCGGAAAUCAGACUCUCAGAAGGAUGAUGUCAAAGAGGUGUGCACCGAUGAUAUGGGCAUGCAUCCACGGAGCCCGAGCUAUGCCAGCUCCAGUGAAAUGUACACGCACAUGGGCACCAUGCCACGAAACCCAAAGAAGGACAAAAGCUUGAAGAAGAGCAAGUCCAAGGACAAGACCAACCUCAGUCAGAGUCAAAGCAUGAGACCUCCACAGGACCAUGUCGUUGAUUCCCCACUUCUCAGCGUACUCUCCGGGAAGGGCCUGGAGGCCCUGGACGAACCCCAUCUUGGAGGACAAGCCGGAGGACAAGCCAGCUGCAGGAACCAGAGAUAAUCACAUUCAGAAUCGUGACCUUCCAUCUCCACCGACUAUGGAUGGACACUCAACAAAGCUGGAAGAUGAAGAUAAGGAGCCAUUAGUUGACUCCAAGCUACAUGUUGAUCCACCAAAUGCAUGUCUAGAAUCUUCACCAGAUCUAAGUGUGCCAGACAAAGGGCCAGACAUCCAGCCAGUGCUGCCCAAGAAGAGACAUAAAGAAGGAGACACCUCCAUGAAGGACGCUGAGGAGCUCCAGGUGGAUGGUAAUUUGAUUCAGUUACCUCUGAAACACAGCAGUCAGGUGGAGCAGAAGCAAGCAGUAGAGGAAGAUGCUAAGAUAAGAUCAGACUGCAAACAAGACAGUCAGGAAGAGAAAGAGCCUAACAGACAGCUGAACGCCAGAGACAACCAAGGAGAAUAUGUGGAAGUAAGGCCUUUUUUCUUUCUCUUAUAA
rnacentral:lncRNA from 1 species